CGAAGAAAGAAAUACUCUCCGACGAUAGCCGGAAUUGUCCGUCGAGGAACACGAACCGACCGACAAGAAGCGGAUUCCUGGAUCACACACGUAAGGACUUGCUUAUCAUUUAUAACGAGGUCGGUGUAGGUAAUGAUUGAAUGGAGCUUAGUUACGCUAAGUUCCAAAACAUUUCAUGAUUGGUCUGAUUUGAGACAAAAGGCAAUUUGAUUGUACACACAGCAUUGCUUAGUUAUAUGGUCUAAGUAAGGUUAAUGUUGAGACUUGGUUCGAAUCAUCGAGUAUCGGUACUUGAAUCUUAUUUUAUCCAGAAAAAGUCAAAUUCGGAGAAAAAGUAUCUUUUUCAUUAUUCAAAGUGUUGAAAUGUUCACAUGGUUUUAUAAUUAUUCGUUUCCAUACUUCGAUGUAAGUAAGUAUUUGUGAGGACUGUCUUGCUGGUACCCUGACGAUGCCGGCCACCAGAGAUUUGGUGUUACCCAAACGGUGGCAGUUGCCAGAAGGGUUGUUGUACGCAACUGAUGUCUGUCGCCAGAUGUGCGCUGGUACCCGGUCGGUGCCGGUCAUCAGAGGUGUGCUGGGACUCUGUCAUAUCGGCACUUAUGUUAACAUGACGAUCAACUUUUUUCAAAGGUAAGCUACUAAUUAACUUUAUAAUUGCAGUUAACAUGGUCCGAGUUCGAGUUACCUUUGUUUUUUUUUUUGUGACGAAUUCGCUUCUUUGACAUAGCCGUGUUCUUGCCAGAGAGAUAAACUACUGGUUAGAAAGCCAGGAUCAAGGUUCUGAAUCUGGAUAGCCAGAGUUUAUUGACUUAUUUGAAAAUCGUGUAAACUUGGGACUGUUGCUGGUAUGAACUCACAACUGGUUCUGUGACAAUUUCUUUCUGUAUUUUUCCUGAACAUGUUGAGAGAUUUAUCAAGUUAUAUAACAUUGACUGGUAUUUAUAUUAAUGAUAAUUUUUGUACCUACAAUAGAGAACAGUAUAUGCAUACGAUUUUAAAGAUUAAUAACGGCCCCAUCAGUAUGACAACUAGUUCCUUAUUUUACAGAUACUCAUCCAGUUUGCAAAAGUCCUUCUUUCUAGCAGACGACACCAAUCGCUUCUAGCAGAAGAAACUAGCUGCUUCUAGCAGACGACAUCAUUUGCUUCCAGCAAACGACAACAGUUGCUUCUGGCAGACGACACCAUUUGCUUUUAGUAGACGACAACGGUUGCUUCUGGCAGACGACGCAAAAGUGCUUAUAGCAUUUGACGCCAGUUGAUUCUACCAGACGACUCAAGGGGAGGAGCGUUACGGCGAUGGACAAGAUUUAAUGGUUUUAGGUGAAUUCAAGCCUUGACUGAUCUAGCGUCUAUAUUUGUCCUGUCGUGUUGUUUGUGGUAGGCAGCUCUUUCAUCCUUGAAGUCCCGGCUGACAGACAAAGUCUUCGUUCAGGUUAUGAAAAAAAAGGCAAGAAAGACAUUGUUUGGCCUUAUUGAAAGACAGACUGAUGGCAGAAAACAAAUAUCAUCGUAAAGUUUUGUGUUUGCUGUUUCCAACAGCUGACAGACUGAUGUAUCCAAGGAUGAUUUUAAACACAAAAGUGAGAACUAUCUGCAGAAUGAAGAAGGAAGAAUUAAGUAUUGUAAAUCCAUAACAGUCCACAACAGCCCGGAAGCAGCACAGACAUGGCACUACAACAGCACUGGCAUAUAAGCACACAAUCAUGGCAACGCUGGCACAAGCAUGAUGGAUAGCUCACAAAUAUAUAAUUGAGAAUGUUUAAUAACAUAAAUGUAUUUUGUUAAAUUCUAGGAUAAAUAACUGGAGUAAAAAUGAGGAGUGUUUUUUUUCAGAACACCGAUACAUACUUUUGUUUAGACACAGCUAGUAAUUCUAGAUCGGUUAUUUUUGCAGGACAAAUAAUAGGUGAAUCUCAUUACUUGGUUUAAAUAAAUUCAAAUAUGACAUACAAGUAACGCCCAACACAAGACAAAGAGGACAUUUGUUUCAGUGCAAGAUGGAAAUAUAUUUAAGAUCGUUCAGAUAAAAUCGCCUGAAAAUAAUUCGAUAUACAUAUAUAUUAAAUUUCAUCCACUAAUACCUUUUUUCCAAAAUGUAACAUACUUUUCCAACGCAUCGUCGCCACGCAACUUCGCAUGUUAUGAACAACGUCACGUCUAAUGUCAUGACGUCAGAAUGAAUAUGUUGAAAAAAGUUAGAUAUUUCUGUAACAUUUUAAUAAAGCAAUGUAAAGUAGAUGUAUUUUCUAAUGCUAAGGACCUCCUAUAAUUAGAGCGAUGUAUUUAUUGAAGCAUAUUUUCGGUUUAUGUAAUUCAUAUUUUUUAGGGUUAAGGUGUAGCUUCAUGCCAAUUAACGCCAUAUUUUGAUUUCUCGUUGUUGAAACAGUAAGAUUAUCAGGAUAUAAUGUAUUGUUAUAUUUUGAUAAUCCUUUGAAAGUAUUAAAUAUAAUUACAUACUCUACUAAUUAAAACUGUACAGAUAAAAUCAAAUUUCAUUUGAUUAAACUUAUAUUCUACCGUCCUUUGUCGGAGUUGUCUAAAUCUAGCCUUUAAAGUCAUUUUAGCCCCAUUUCUUGUACACUGCAUUUUACACUGAUUGGCAUAACUCUUAACUGACACCUAGCUUUGAGCACUAACAUUAACGCUUGAGACUGAAAUGACUUUUUGAAGCAACUUUGUCUUUUAUAAGUGCAACGUUUGAAAUUUAAGACUGGUAUAUGAUAAGGGGUAAAAAGAUGCGUUGAUUAAAUGUUAAGAAAAAUAUGUGCUUGUAGCCCUAAAUUUUAAUGGAUUACUGGAAUAUAAUUGUGAAUUAUGACCUGAUAAGGUCAUUGCUUCAAACACAGAGAAAUCGAGAAAUCCAAAUAUGAUGUCUACUGGUAAGGAACUGCACAUGAACACGAAAGGAUAUAAAUUAGAAAGAAGUGGAUAAUUUUAUUGAAAGACAGAGCUGUAUAAAUGCUUGCAAAAACACUAAAAUACCCACCAAAGAUAAACAUAUGCAUCUCGUAAACUUAUAAACAUAGGCAUCGUGACGUCAUUAAGUUGCGCGGUUGAAUGAGUAAAUUCAUUUAAACUCGACAAGAGAUCAAACAUAAGCUGUGAAUGACCUUUUUAUACGCCCGUCUCUGAAAGAGCGGGGCGUAUUAUGUGAACACCCAUGGCGGGCGAGCGGGCGGUUGGCGUCCAAAAAUAUGUCCGUUCUCUAAGUCAAACAGUUUUCAUCCGAUCUUCACCAAACUUGGUGACAAUGUUUGUGGGCAUAAUAUCUCGUCCAAGUUCGAUAACCAGCAAAAUCGCUCCAGGCACCCAUGAAAUAUGGCCCUUGAAUUACUUGAAAAUCUGCAAUGUUAGCCUUGUCCGCCCUCUAAGUCAAUCAGCUUUCAUCUGAUCUUCACCAAACUUGCUGACAAUGUUUGUUGGCGUAAUAUCUUGGCCAAGUUUGAUAAUCAGCAAAAUCACCCAACUGCUCUCUUGGAUUAUGGCCCUUGAAUUACUUGAAAAAAUUGGGAAUUUAGCCUUGUCCGCUCUCUAAGUCCAACACUUUUCAUCUGAUCUUCCAUAAACUUGCAGAUAAUGUUUGUCGGCAUAGUAUCUCAGUCAAGUUCGAUAACCAGCCAUAUUGCCCCAGGCACUCUUGGAUUAUGGCCCUUGAAUUACUCGAAAUCUGCCAAUUUAGCCUUGUCCGCACUCCUAAGUUGAACAGUUUUCAUCAGGUCUUCACCAAACUUGCUGACAAUGUUUGUGGGCAAAAGAUCUCGGCCAAAUUCGAUAAUCAGCCAACUCGCCCCUGGCACUUUUGGAUGAUUGCCCUUGAAUUAGGCCAAAUGCGAUGACGGGCGUAUUUUGUGACAGUCUGCCACUCUUGUUUAACAUUGUAUGAUUAAAACAAUUAGACAGACAAUACUAGUAAUUGUAAAAGAACAUGUAAUACUGAAUGAAUUAUCUUUCACUCGGGAAGAACAGAUUUAGUUCACUCUAUGAAAGAUAGUCCGAUCUUAUACUGAAACAUCUUAUAUAUUUUAUAUACAUGUUAACAGUAGUAGUAUUUUAAAAUACGUUUAAAGGUAAGCAGAUACAGACAAGGACAGAAAUCACUGAAACCAUGUUUAUCAUACUAAUUUAUUGAUAAUAAGCAGUUUGCACUUUGUAUUGUAGUAUUUUUUUUUCUACCGGCUAGUUCUUUCUCAAUAGCAGUCAGAGCUUUGAACCUAAUCAAAAGAUUACCACGUUUUUCUUUAUUUUUUACUGUUGAAUUCAGUGAUUUUUAUAGAUCCUGUUCAAUUUGAAAAUAGUGAUCUUUCAUAUAUCCAGAACAUUAACAUUUUAAUUUGCAUCUUAAAAGUACCAUGGUAAUAUAAGACUAUUUUAUGUUAUUUAUUGCUGCUUGAAAAUUGAAUAAAAGGUAUAACAGUU